UACGUAGGGCGCAAGCAUUGUCCGGAAUUAUUGGGCGUAAAGGGCUCGUAGGCGGCUUGUCACGUCGGGUGUGAAAGCCCGGGGCUUAACCCCGGGUCUGCAUUCGAUACGGGCAGGCUGGAGUUCGGUAGGGGAGAUCGGAAUUCCUGGUGUAGCGGUGAAAUGCGCAGAUAUCAGGAGGAACACCGGUGGCGAAGGCGGAUCUCUGGGCCGAUACUGACGCUGAGGAGCGAAAGCGUGGGGAGCAAACAGG
rnacentral:rRNA from 1 species